rnacentral:lncRNA from 1 species
CGGAGGGAGAGCUUGGCAGGGCGGCAUGACGGGCUGGUCUGCACCAGCAGAACGGAGGGAGAGAUUGAAAAAGAGUGUCCGCCUGCAAUGGCGAGGAAGAAGAGUUCGAAAGCAGCAUGGACGGCUGCUCUCCGGCUGGUAUUGAAGGUAGAGCUUGGCAAGAGAGAAUGGGAGAGCUCUACUGUCUCGAGCAUGGCAUCCAGCCCCAAUGGCAUCAUGCCCACUUGCCCAGGUAAGCUUCUUCUCUGUUCCAAUUCUUGCACUUGUUGGUUUUUUACUUUCAGAGCUGUGGGAAAUAUCAGAUGGUGUGUGUCUUCUUUGAUGGUACAAGUAUUUUAAACUGACACCGUAUGAUAAUAUAUGAUUGCUAUAAUGAACAAAGGUUGUAUUUUUUAAUUGAUUGGUACGCAAUUGUUGUCUUACCUGAUCACUUGCUCAUUUCCUUUCUUGAAAAUGCCAGAUUAUUAAUUUCCUUAUAAGGAUAUAUAAAGAUACAGGCAAUCUUUUUAUAACUUUUCUGAAAUCUGACAUAAAUGAAAAUGUCUGAUAUUCAAAUUAGUUAGAUUACUUUCUCGACUCCUAGCAGUGCACCUAAAUUUGAGUACCGAUGUUUCAGGGUACUAUUUUGUUUUUUGAGAACCACGUAAAAGUCACAGUUCCAGUGUGAUCAGCUAAGAGUUUUUGUACACAACAUUGAUUCUAUUUUUCUCAAACCAUUUAUUUAGCUUGAAUAACUGGUGUUUUGUUGUUCUACGGACUGAAUUUGUAGACCAACAUGGCUCGUGUGUAUUAAUUCAUCAAUGUCUCUGGCUAGUACAAGGCAGACCAUAGAUUCCUCCCGACGAAGAUUGAUGUGGCGCGAUGGAGAGCUUGGUGUGUGCGGCCUGCUGAUGGCGCUCGGGGCGAUG